rnacentral:rRNA from 1 species
AGAGUUUGAUUAUGGCUCAGGACGAACGCUGGCGGCGUGCUUUACACAUGCAAGUCGAGCGAGAAAGCCCCUUCGGGGGUGAGUACAGCGGCGAACGGGUGAGUAACACGUGGGCAACCUGCCCCAGAGACUGGGAUAACGUCCCGAAAGGGACGCUAAUACCGGAUGAUGCGUGACCUGCCAAGUGGGUCACGCCAAGUGGUAGCCUUGGCUUCUGCUCUGGGAUGGGCCCGCGCCGGAUUAGCUUGUUGGUGAGGUAAUGGCUCACCAAGGCGACGAUCCGUAGCUGGUCUGAGAGGACGAUCAGCCACACUAGGACUGAGACACGGCCCAGACUCCUACGGGAGGCAGCAGUGGGGAAUCUUGCGCAAUGGGCGAAAGCCUGACGCAGCAACGCCGCGUGAGCGAAGAAGGCCUUCGGGUUGUAAAGCUCUGUCAGGAGGGACGAAGCCACUCAGGUUAAUAGCCGAGAGGGUGACGGUACCUCCAGAGGAAGCCCCGGCUAACUACGUGCCAGCAGCCGCGGUAAUACGUAGGGGGCAAGCGUUGUCCGGAAUUAUUGGGCGUAAAGCGCGUGUAGGCGGCCAUCCAAGUCCGAUGUGAAAGCUCGGGGCUCAACCCCGAGUCUGCAUUGGAAACUGGUUGGCUUGAGUCCGGAAGAGGAGACUGGAAUUCCUGGUGUAGCGGUGAAAUGCGCAGAUAUCAGGAAGAACACCGGUGGCGAAGGCGGGUCUCUGGGACGGUACUGACGCUGAGACGCGAAAGCGUGGGGAGCAAACAGGAUUAGAUACCCUGGUAGUCCACGCCGUAAACGAUGGGCACUA